GGCAGUGUUGGCCCAGUUGUUAAAGGCUCUGGAUUACUGAUCAGAAAGUCAGAAGUUCAAGUCUCAGCACUGCCA